AUUGAACGCUGGCGGAAUGCUUUACACAUGCAAGUCGAGCGGCAGCGCGGCCUUCGGGCUGGCGGCGAGCGGCGAACGGGUGAGUAAUGCAUCGGAACAUGCCCAGUCGUGGGGGAUAACACUUCGAAAGAAGUGCUAAUACCGCAUACGUCCUGAGGGGGAAAGCGGGGGAUCGCAAGACCUCGCGCGAUUGGAGUGGCCGAUGUCAGAUUAGCUAGUUGGUGGGGUAAAGGCCUACCAAGGCGACGAUCUGUAGCUGGUCUGAGAGGAUGAUCAGCCACACUGGGACUGAGACACGGCCCAGACUCCUACGGGAGGCAGCAGUGGGGAAUUUUGGACAAUGGGGGCAACCCUGAUCCAGCCAUUCCGCGUGAGUGAAGAAGGCCUUCGGGUUGUAAAGCUCUUUCGGCAUGAACGAAACGGUGGGCUCUAACAUAGUCCGCUAAUGACGGUACCUGAAGAAGAAGCACCGGCUAACUACGUG
rnacentral:rRNA from 1 species